GCUGUGUGUUUGCUCCCUCUUCCUGCUGUCCCGAGAUCUCUGGGAUCUGCAAUCCAAAAUCACAGCAACAGAACUCUGUAGAGUUGCUCAUCACUUCCUCUUGCUGCUUCCAGGUGCCUCUGGGAUUUGUAAUCCACAAUCACAGACAGCAGUAAGUAAGCAGGGUAUGUGUA